UUUAAUGUUACUGCUCAUACUCCAAAUUAUAGAAUGCUUAAGAUAAUUAAAUUAUCUGACUUUUAUAAUUCACUACACGGUGACCUCAAAUUUACCUCAUUAGAAUAUUUAGUACUUCUGCACUUCUCCCACUUCUCAAAGUUUUCCCAUACCAGGAUUCCCCACCACCUAGGAACAGCCUUUGCAAGAUACCAAUGCUCUCUAAAUCCCCAAAGCAGGGUCUAUUUCCUGAUCGAACAAAGAGCAACAAAGAAGUGGGUGGUAACCACCUCUCUGAGGCAAGCCAGGACCCAUGGAGUCUGAUCUACAACACAAGCAGUAGCAGUUCCACAUCUCCCUACCACCUCUUAUUUCCUACGAAGUCUUUCUGCCUGAAACUGGAAAACCCGAACUAUUAUUGAGGAAGUGAAGCCCUUCCAUUUGAAUCCUGAGAAAGACGCGCUCAAAGAACCCAGCGAACAAAGGAGAGGGUUGGAGCCCACGCAAAACAUGGGUGUGAUAAAGCCACACGCGACCUGAGCCCCCACCCUCAGUAACUACUCUCCAGCGCCCACCGGGAGGAGGGGUCCGGGGAAAGGAUUGGCAUCCUCUGCUUCUGCAGAAAACAUGGCUACCAACAGCUUCUGUAUCCACCUGCGGAGGAGACUGACUGCUCUGUUAUUCCCCCAGCAUCUGUGAAGAGGCUCUGACUGGCUAAAGUGUUGGUAUAGUGAUCACCCCAGGGUUAGGCAACCAUGGCUGGUGAAAAGGAAAAACGUUAUGAACCUGGCUGUGCGGAGCUACCUGAGGAAGCUUGUAGGAGAAGGGUCAGUUUGCAGAGAAAGGGGGGCCUGGGCAGAUGACGCAAGAGGUGCCCAUUACAUCCCUCUAGAGGUGAGCUGUCUAAAAUGGUAGGCACUGGCCACCUGUACUUAUUUAAUUGUAAAUGUAAAUUUCUUAAAAUUUCCUUAGACACAUUAGCCUCAUCUCGAGUGCUCAAUAGCCACAUGUUGCCAGUGGCUACUGUAUUGAGCAGUAAAGAUAUAGGACAUUUCCCUCAUUGCAGACAUAGUGGACACCUCUCCUCUAGAGUUAUCUGUGGUUCUACCAGCAAAAGCCCAGGUGUUCCAGCUAGAGAAACAGCAAAUUUCUCUGGGACAUGAACAACUAGAAAACAUCUCACCUUGUCCUCCAAUAACUUGGAAAGAAUUUUUUUUGGUUGGAGACCCCAGAACUGGUUCUUGCUUUUGUUUGUUUGUUUGUUUGUUUUGUUUUGUUUUUGAGACAGUGUCUUGCUCUGUCACCCAGGCUGGAGUGCAGUGGCGUGAUCUAGGCUCACUGCAACCUCCGCCUCCUGGAUUCAAGGGAUUCUCGUACCUCAGCCUCCUGAGUAGCUAGGACUACAGGUACACACCGCCACGCCCAGCUAAUUUUUGUGUUUUUAGUAGGGAUGGGGUUUUGCCAUGUUGGCCAGGCUGGUCUCGAACUCCUGCCCUCAGGUGAUCCACCCACCUCAGGCUCCCAAAGUGCUGGGAUUACAGGCGUGAGUCACCAUGCUUGGCCUGGUUCUUGAUUAUAUCCGAUUUGAGCACUGAGCAAAGCCUCCUAAUCUCAUCAUGCCUGAAUUCUUAGACUACCUUACCCCCAAAUUUCAAAGAUAAUUAAUUCAGUCAUCCAUCUCAUCUUUGUUACGCCAGGAUACCAGACAAAUGCAAUUCCUUUUAGUUAACUGUCUUGUCCAGUUCCCGUAAUGUUCCGUUUCUUCUGCUGGUUUCCUUCUUAGUCUUGUCCAUUAUGCCUUAUCAAAACUUUACAUGGCAGAGAUGGCUAGCUGUCCCCUAAAAUUCAGCAUCCCCUUUCACAGUGUAGAGAUGUCAGUUGAAUUUGGCUGCCCAGCCAGGAACCGCAUCUUCCAGCCCUUCCUGCAUCCAGAUUAUGCCAUGUGACUAGUUUUCAUCAAUGAAAUGAGAAAGAGAUUUAUGUCACCUCCCAGAUGGGGUUUUUUAAAAGCAUGAUUGUUUUCUCUACUCUCUUCCCCUAUCUGAAUAGGAAGGAGUCUGUAGCUUUAGGGGAAGACAGAGCCACAAGAUGGAAGGAGCUUGGAUGUCUGAACUAUUCCAUGGAGAAAAGCUGCAGCCAACGAAGAACACCUGCAAUGGACUCUUAACCUGGGGGUGACGACAACCACUGAAAUAUGCUGCAUCUUAGUCCAGGGAUUUUUAAAGUGUGGUUCCUGGAAGAGCUGGAUCAGAGUCAUCUGUGUUGAUGGUUUAACAUAAAGAUUUUCGAGCCCCAAGACUCAAGUAGGACAAGGAAUUUGAAUUUUUAAGCAGCUCACCUGACUUGUCUGUCCUCUAAUGUCUGAAGACAUCUGACCUCUGCUCUUUCAGUAAAAGCAACAAUGGUUUUAUGAGCAUUGUCGUCACAUCUCUCCACUCAAGGGAUCCUUCUCAUUUCUCCCAGCUGAGGUCACCCACAGCUGCUGCUUCUAACUGCUGGCUUCCAGCCUGCUGUCUGCCAGCUGGCUCUACCCUCUCCUAUAACACGGCAGAGAGUAGCUGUGGUCUCCUGCGUGCUCACCCUCUGCUCCCUUGGUCCUGCUCCAUGCUUUGGUCCUGCACUUAAAUUUUACAAGCAUACUCUCUUUCUCUUAAGAUGAAGGAGCUGAGGCUGGAGAAGUUAAGAGACCCCUGCUAGAUAGGAAGGCACGUGAGAAGUAUACUGCUCUGUCUCCUGUGGAGUAAAAAGACUUUGGCGUUCUCAGAAGAAAACCAAAUGAGAUCACACGAAUGAGACUGCUGGAGCAAUCUAAUGCAAAUAUCUACUACAGAUUAUCAAAAGGAAAAAAAAAGGAGCUUAUAUCAUAGUUGAGAGGUUCUCAAACACAAACUGGUGCCAAAAGUGACAAAAUGAGAAAGAUAAGUAUUGUGCAAUGAUCAUAUCUGUGCAUGGUAUGGUAUAGACAGCUGAUUUGUAAUCAGUACACUUGCAUGAUUUUAUGAAUUUCCAGUAAAACUUUGCCAAAGGAAACCUUCAUUUUAUUGCUUGUUCCCACAAUAAAUUAGAGCUUAUCAGCAAA
rnacentral:lncRNA from 1 species